ACGAGACGCUGGCGGCGUGCCUAACACAUGCAAGGUCGAGCGAAGAAAGUCCCUUCGGGGGCGAGUAAAGCGGCGGACGGGUGAGUAAUACAUGGAUAAUCUUCCCUCGAGCCUGGGAUAACCCUGCGAAAUGGGGCUAAUACCGGAUAAGACCACAUGACACAUGUCACGGGGUAGAAGGUGGCUUGUAUUUAUAUGAGCUAUCACUUGAGGAUGAGUCCAUGGCCUAUCAGCUAGUUGGUGAGGUAAGAGCUUACCAAGGCUAUGACGGGUAGCUGGUCUGAGAGGACGACUAGCCACACCUGGGACUGAGACACGGCCCAGACUCCUACGGGAGGCAGCAGUGGGGAAUAUUGGGCAAUGGGCGAAAGCCUGACCCAGCGACGCCGCGUGGGUGAUGAAGGCCUUCGGGUUGUAAAACCCUUUCGUGCGGAAAGAAUAGUCCUGUAGCGAAUAACUACGGGAUUUGACGGUACCGCAGGAAGAAGCACCGGCUAACUCCGUG
rnacentral:rRNA from 1 species